rnacentral:lncRNA from 1 species
GAUAAUGCAAAUCCAUUUGCAGCUCUUCUGGGGAACCAGGCAGGGAACCAAGCUAGUGAUGGGUCAACUAAUCCAUCAAGUGCUAACUCUGAGUCCACCACAGGUUCCCCAGCUCCAAAUACCAAUCCGCUGCCCAACCCAUGGACUUCUGCUGGGUGUAAGCUCUCUCUUUCUCACCCUUCAUAUUAAUCAUUUUGAAGCAGUUGAAAAGUAAAUUACUGUGUAUCUUCUUAUGUUCUUUGUUCUUAAUCUUUCUGCUAACUCCUCCUUCCUCCUUCCACUCCUGAAAGGUGUUAGGUUUGCAAUGAGUCUACUUUCUAUAAUCAUUUCAAUGACAUUCUGAGUUAAGUUAAAAAUAUGUUAUUUAGAUUUCAAAAAUAUUGUAUGUCAAUGGGUGAUGGUAGUGCUUGAGUUAGGUUGGCUUUUUAGUGAUUUUGUAUUUCAUCACUGGUCUGUUUAUAACCUUUUCUCAGAGUUCCUAGAUAUUUAAUACAGUUUUAUUUAUUUACUUGCCUUUUAUUUUAUGCACCUUAAAAAUGUCUUAUGAAGCAUGUGACAUUUAACUUUGAUUAAGUUAGUGUUUUAUAUGUUUCUCUCUCUCUCUCUCUCUCUCUCUCUCUCUCUCUGAUUAUCAGUGCUUAAAAAUGCAAAAUAAUAGAUAAUCUAUCGACUGCUUUUGCUAACUUCUGAUUAAAUGCAACUUUUAUAGCUGGUGCUGCCCCCCAGGCUAACACCACAAGGUCAAAUACUGCUGGGGAUGCUAGGGCACAGGCACCUGCUGGGUUAGGUGGACUUGGUCUUCCAGAGUUUGACAACAUGUUUGGUGCUAUGCCAGACGCUAAUCUAAUGACUCAGUUAUUGCAAAAUCCAGCUGUUUCACAAAUGAUGCAAAGCCUCCUU